rnacentral:rRNA from 1 species
AGUCGAGCGAGAAGGCCUUCGGGCUGAGUACAGCGGCGGACGGGUGAGUAACGCGUAGGAAUCUACCUGGUAGUGGGGGACAACAUGGGGAAACUCAUGCUAAUACCGCAUACGCCCUAUGGGGGAAAGCGGGGGACCUUCGGGCCUCGCGCUAUCAGAUGAGCCUGCGUAGGAUUAGCUUGUUGGUGAGGUAAAGGCUCACCAAGGCGACGAUCCUUAGCUGGUCUGAGAGGAUGAUCAGCCACACUGGAACUGAGACACGGUCCAGACUCCUACGGGAGGCAGCAGUGGGGAAUAUUGCGCAAUGGGCGAAAGCCUGACGCAGCCAUGCCGCGUGUGUGAAGAAGGCCUUCGGGUUGUAAAGCACUUUCAAUUGGGAAGAAAGGUUGCGUGUUAAUAGCACGUAGCUGUGACGUUACCUUUAGAAGAAGCACCGGCUAACUCCGUGCCAGCAGCCGCGGUAAUACGGAGGGUGCGAGCGUUAAUCGGAAUUACUGGGCGUAAAGCGCGCGUAGGCGGUUUGUUAAGUCGGAUGUGAAAGCCCCGGGCUCAACCUGGGAAUUGCAUUCGAUACUGGCCGACUAGAGUACGAGAGAGGGAGGUAGAAUUCCACGUGUAGCGGUGAAAUGCGUAGAUAUGUGGAGGAAUACCGGUGGCGAAGGCGGCCUCCUGGCUCGAUACUGACGCUGAGGUGCGAAAGCGUGGGUAGCAAACAGGAUUAGAUACCCUGGUAGUCCACGCCGUAAACGAUGUCUACUAGCCGUUGGGAGACUUGAUUUCUUAGUGGCGCAGCUAACGCACUAAGUAGACCGCCUGGGGGAGUACGGCCGCAAGGUUAAAA